rnacentral:rRNA from 1 species
UACGAGGGGGGCGAGCGUUGUUCGGAAUUAUUGGGCGUAAAGGGUGCGUAGGCGGUUUGGUAAGUCUCUUGUGAAAUCUAUGGGCUCAACUCAUAGUCUGCAAGGGAAACUGCCGGGCUUGAGGACUGGAGAGGAGACUGGAAUUUACGGUGUAGCGGUGAAAUGCGUAGAUAUCGUAAGGAAGACCAGUGGCGAAGGCGGGUCUCUGGACAGUUCCUGACGCUGAGGCACGAAGGCCAGGGGAGCAAACGGG